AGAGAAGGUCAGGGAGGUGACCAAGAACUCGAUGACCACUCUGACAGAGACCCAGAGUUCUUUUGUGGAGAUGGUUGUCUUUGUGGAAGGUUCUCCCAUCUCUGCAGCUCUCCACCAAUCAGGCCUUUUAUGGUAGAGUGGGCAGACGGAAGCCACUCCUCAGUAAAAUGCUUGGAGUUUGCCAAAAGGCACCUAAAAGGACCCAUACCAUGAGAAACAAGAUUAUCUGGUCUGAUGAAACCAAGAUUGAACUGAAUGCCAGGCGGCACAUCUGGAGGAAACCUGGCACCAUUCCUACAGUGAAGCAUGGUGGCAGCAUCCUGCUGUGGGGAUGUUUUUCAGCUGCAGGGACUGGGAGACUAGUCGGGGUUGAGGGAAAGAUGAACGGAGCAAAGAUCCUUGAUGAAAACCUGCUCCAGAGUUCUCAGGAUCUCAGAUUGGGGCAAAAGUUCACCUUCCAACAGGACAACGACCGUAAGCACACAGCCAUGACGAUGCAGGAGUGGCUUUGGGACAAGUCUCUGAAUGUCCUCGUGGCCCAGCCAGAGCCCGGUCUUGCACCCGAUCAAACAUUUCUGGAGAGACCUGAAAAUAGCUGUGCAGCUACGCUCCCCAUCCAACCUGACAGAGCUUGAGAUCAGCAGAGAAGAAUGGCAGAAACUCCCCAAAUACAGGUGUGCCAAACUUGUAGCAUCAUACCCAAGAAGACUCGAGGCUGUAAUCACUGCCAAAGGUGCUUGAACAAAGCUUUCCACUAGAUAUUGGAACAUUGCAGACUGCCAGAUGGUGAAGCGUGGUUCAUUACUCUAGAGAACGAGUUUCCACUGCUCCAGAGUCCAAUAGCGUUUAUGAGCCGUCACUCCUCAUGCCAUGAAGUAGAAAAUAACGCCCCGCUCGGCCCAACUGAGAAUUCUACAGCCUGGGCACGGGAUGCCCGUGUGGGGGUUGCGCCCAGUGCACUGCGGCGAGGAGAUGCUGCAGGUGACACUCUACAGCGGCUACGAUAACUUUGACGACACGGUGCGGCUAUACGAGGCGGUGCUGCAAAGGCCGGCAGAGGAGCAGAAGCCGGGGUUCUGUUGGUUCACGCUCUACACGGAGCCUGGGCGGUGUCUACAGCUGGCAACUCAGCAGUGCUGCAUUUCAGGGUGGAGGAGAUGGGUCAGCUUGUGCUCCUGCCCAAUCCGUGCACGCACUGGCAGGCCGAAGACCUGGACGGCAACAAGAUGAGCUUCCAGGACAAUGACCCAACAGACCUCCAAGAUGUGUAAGGGCAAUUUGGCCAAGAAGGAGAGUGAUGGAGUGCUGCAUCAGAUGACCUGGCCUCCACAAGUGAGAAAGUUAGACUGAGGCUCCCUCCAUGAUCGUUGAACCGUCCAUUAUUUUCACCUCAAAUCUUCCAGAGAAAGUUAAGACUGUUAGUCUCUGUCCCCCAGGUGAAAGCCUCAGCGACCCCUGACCCGUGCCUUCCCUCUGACCUGCCCCACGUCUCGCCCAGAGGGCUACUGAGGAGCGUUGUCUGUACUGCCCCCAGCAGCCCACACCCUGUAGUCCUGCAGCCAGGUGACCCAG